GGUUCGAUGGCGUAGUUGGUUAUCGCAUCUGUCUAACAUCUUCCUCAGUGAGAGUUGUGUACCACAGAAGGUCCCCGGUUCGAACCCGGGUCGAAUCA